rnacentral:rRNA from 1 species
GAUGAACGCUGGCGGCGUGCUUAACACAUGCAAGUCGAGCGAGAAGUUUUGAAAAGAUUCUUCGGAUGAAAUUUAAAAUGGAAAGCGGCGGACGGGUGAGUCACGCGUAGGCAACCUGCCCCAUACAAAGGGAUAGCAUUUGGAACCGAAUAUUACUACCUUUUGAAACUUAACUAGUGCAUGCUAGGUAGGUCAAAGAUUUAUCGGGAUUGGAUGGGCCUGCGUCUGAUUAGCUAGUUGGUGAGGUAACGGCUCACCAAGGCGACGAUCAGUAGCCGGCCUGGGUGAGUGGACAGCCAGAGAGGAACUGAGGCACGAGCCAAACUCCUACGGGAGGCAGGAGGGAGAAAUAUUGCACAAUGGGGGAAACCCUGAUGCAGCAACGCCGCGUGAACGAUGAAGGCCUUUGGGACGUAAAGUUCUGUUCUAGGUGAUGAAAACUGACAGUAACCGAGGAGAAAGCCCCGGCUAACUCCGUG